GCUUUCCAGAAGAGGCCCAUUUCUGUGUCCAUUUUCUGGUAAGGAGUCUUCAGAAGGUACUCAUCGAUCCCUCCUGCCUUGUCUAUGCAACGAAGGGCAUGAGUAGUAACUUUGACUCUAAUGUGGCGGUCUAAGAUGUAGCUAAACAGCCUCUUCUCCUGGACAUUUGGCUUCCAAGUUCUCCUUGACUUGUUACCACCAUCUUCACUAAUGCGAUUGCCGAACUGGAUAUGGCGGGCCACGCUUGGCUCGGCCCAUAACGACCCUGCUAUCGGGUAUGGAUUUCUUCAGAGAUUCCUUAACUCCAGGUGUAAAAUUGUUCUCUCCUACCUUUUUCAGUACUUUCUUCAUCAUCUCCUUCCCUCUAA
rnacentral:misc_RNA from 1 species